GGAAGAAAAGAAAAUGGCCACCACAGUGCUUUCCCCUCACAGUGCACAAUUUGCUGAUGAGUUCAAAGUGUCUCCGUAACUUCAUGCCAUUUCUUCUGCUAGAAGCCAAGCCAGUCUCCUCACCUGAAAAAUGGGAACAGCAAAAUAUCCUACCCUAGAGGGUUGCUGAGAGAGCCGAAAGCAUCUAUCCACGCGAAGCACGUGGGACAGAGCCUGGCACAAAGAAAACGCUUCCCAUGGUUUCAUGUACAGUCCUGCCUUACCCCGGUUGUCUUCCUUGUUGCCUGCGACCAUGUCUUCUCACUGUAUUUGGCCCCACAUCUAGAGGAGCACCUUGAAACCAGUGGAGGGUCCACAGGAGCUGAGGAAGAGCUACUGAUUUCCAGCUGCAAGGCUGAAAUGAAAACCAGCAAAAGUGCAAGCCAAGGGUUCAGUUUCCCAAUAACUGCAGCUGUCUAGCACCCGGAGCUAUUUUUAAACUCCUUUUCAGAAACUCCAGUGUUUGCGAUGGAUCUAUUUUCUUAACUGCCAAGAGAUAAUGCUUAAAAGGGAUAGCUUGAAAAUAUUCCACGGCGCUCAUACAAAUGACUGAAAUAGAUAGUGUACAAGACGGCCUUUGUCUGGAGCAGCAGAGGAAAGCAAGAUGAAGUCUUUCAGACCCCAGGACCAUGGUGCUGCUGGAUCUGCUGCUGACAACCGUGGCUUUGUGUCUUGAAUGUGCACUGUGACCAGAAAAGGCAAGAAAACCAAACAGUAAUUGUAGAGAACAUCAGAGACCUGGCAUUUAAAUUGGUCAUUGAUUCCAGGAAACAGGAGACCCCAAAAUAGCUCCCAAAGAAUCCCCCUUGAGUUGAGUGCUGCCUUAUCUGCAACGUGGAUGGAGCUGGAGGCCAUUAUCCUAAGCAAACUAACACAAGAACAGAAAACCAAAUACUGGAUAAGUGGGAGCUAAACAUUGAGUACACAUGGACACAGAGAAAGAAGUUAUUUGAAGAUGUGCUCCAGCAAAAUAAGAGGUAACCCAGGAUCCAUGAAAGAGUGUUUUCAACCCAAGAGUGUGACAAAGAGAAUUUCCAGGAUGACAGCCCUGGUUCAGGUCUGGAGAUCAACUGCCAUAUACGUACUUGAGAACAAAUAUGAAAGUGUCUCUGAGGGAGGUAUCCAGGGAACAAAUAAAGGGGAGAGCAUGGCAAAGUGUUUCUGAUAUGAUAACUGCCCAGGGGAGAAGAAGAAAGUAAGAAGAUGGCUUACUGCUGGAGAAUUUAAACACUUCAAAGAACACUAUUUAUAUAGCCAACAAUAGUGCUUUAACAAUAUUAAGAGGAUGAUGUGGAGAGGUGCAGAUGAUGGUGUAAGAAUUAAAUCUCAUAGGAAGAAAAAGUUUAAAAAUCACUAGGUAAUAUAUGAAAUUAUAAAUUAAAAAUCAGCAGCAUGUCUUGAUUCUGUUACUUUGAAUUGCAAUGAUAGUAAUAACAAUAAAUAAGUUGAAAAAUUAAAAAAUAUUUUUAAAAGUUCAUUUUAAACUAUGUAUCACUUCAAAUGUACAGUUCUAUUGUCCUCUGGCUUGCAUUGUUUUUAAAAGAAGUUUGGAAAAUUCUUACACUUA
rnacentral:lncRNA from 1 species